rnacentral:rRNA from 1 species
AACCCGGAAGCUAAGCCUCUCAGCGCCGAUGGUACUGCAAGGGGGACCUUGUGGGAGAGUAGGACGCCGCCGGAC